CAGGAUGAACGCUGGCGGCGUGCCUAAUACAUGCAAGUCGAGCGAACAGAUAAGGAGCUUGCUCCUUUGACGUUAGCGGCGGACGGGUGAGUAACACGUGGGUAACCUACCUAUAAGACUGGAAUAACUCCGGGAAACCGGGGCUAAUGCCGGAUAACAUGUUGAACCGCAUGGUUCUACAGUGAAAGACGGUCUUGCUGUCACUUAUAGAUGGACCCGCGCCGUAUUAGCUAGUUGGUGGGGUAACGGCCUACCAAGGCGACGAUACGUAGCCGACCUGAGAGGGUGAUCGGCCACACUGGAACUGAGACACGGUCCAGACUCCUACGGGAGGCAGCAGUAGGGAAUCUUCCGCAAUGGGCGAAAGCCUGACGGAGCAACGCCGCGUGAGUGAUGAAGGUCUUCGGAUCGUAAAGCUCUGUUGUUAGGGAAGAACAAAUGUGUAAGUAACUGUGCACAUCUUGACGGUACCUAACCAGAAAGCCACGGCUAACUACGUGCCAGCAGCCGCGGUAAUACGUAGGUGGCAAGCGUUAUCCGGAAUUAUUGGGCGUAAAGCGCGCGUAGGCGGUUUUUUAAGUCUGAUGUGAAAGCCCACGGCUCAACCGUGGAGGGUCAUUGGAAACUGGAAAACUUGAGUGCAGAAGAGGAAAGUGGAAUUCCAUGUGUAGCGGUGAAAUGCGCAGAGAUAUGGAGGAACACCAGUGGCGAAGGCGGCUUUCUGGUCUGCAACUGACGCUGAUGUGCGAAAGCGUGGGGAUCAAACAGGAUUAGAUACCCUGGUAGUCCACGCCGUAAACGAUGAGUGCUAAGUGUUAGGGGGUUUCCGCCCCUUAGUGCUGCAGCUAACGCAUUAAGCACUCCGCCUGGGGAGUACGGUCGCAAGACUGAAACUCAAAGGAAUUGACGGGGACCCGCACAAGCGGUGGAGCAUGUGGUUUAAUUCGAAG
rnacentral:rRNA from 1 species